CGCAUUACCGUAGUUGCACUUCAACUCUGAGUUUCGAUCAAGAAUACUUAGAGAUUGGUUUUUUUAACUAUUUCAAUUUUUUUGGAUAAUUAAUGUUUUGGGUGGCCCCCUGGAUGGUUCAGUUUCACAAAUCACCCCCGCAGAUUAUGCUGCAGAGUGCAGACGGUAUCUAGGUUACUUAUCUAUACUAUAACUAGACGGCUGGAUCGACUUGAACAAAUUUUCGCAGGACAUCGUUUGUCGGGUCCGCUAGUCUACUCGUAUAUAUUAGCUACUGUUAAACUUUAUGAUGCAUAUUUUAAAAAUAAAUUUUCAUCUGCU